UACGUAGGGAGCAAGCGUUGUCCGGAUUUACUGGGUGUAAAGGGUGCGUAGGCGGCCUUUCAAGUCAGAUGUGAAAACCCGGGGCUUAACCCCGGGCCUGCAUUUGAAACUGUAGGGCUUGAGUGAUGGAGAGGUAAGCGGAAUUCCUAGUGUAGCGGUGAAAUGCGUAGAUAUUAGGAGGAACACCAGUGGCGAAGGCGGCUUACUGGACAUUAACUGACGCUGAGGCACGAAAGCGUGGGGAGCAA
rnacentral:rRNA from 1 species